GGUCACCGAGAGAAACUCGAGCGCUUAUCAAGAGGCAAAUGGGAUUCUGAUUGCUUGCUGAUUGAUGGAAUGGUUUCCCAGUUGGGAGAGGAAGUGGAGAAGUUGUGGCAGAGGGAUGAAGGCGGCACUGGGAAAUACCCACCUGUUAGUUUACAUGCACUGCUGGAUCUCUAUUUGCUAGAAAGCAUUGAAGAGAGCGACAAACAUGCAAUUGUAUCCUUUCCAGAUUCUGUUAUUUCUCCUUCAGUCUGUGCACAUAAAAGUUUUUACAUCUUUGUCACCUGUGUGCUUAACAGCACUUUUAAAUUUAUGCCUCAAACACAGCUUGAGUAAACACAUUUAGGAUAGCAUUAAGUCCUAGACAGAAGCAUUGUUUAAUUUCUUUCUAGAUUGGCAUUUUUCUGAUUUAAUUUUUAAUUGUUUUGUUCCAAAGUCUCUUCUCACAUAGGAAAACAUGUUCUCUAAGUUAUUCAAGAUAAAAACCUUGCUUAUUUGUUCUCAAAUUUUAACACAGUUACUAAUUUUUUAAGACACUCCUAUAUGUAGCAAUAGACUGCUUAUUAGAGUGGUGCCCUAAAAUGUAUUGUUUCAUAGCAAAACGGUUUGUAACUUUGGUUUUCCAGUUGCUAAUUUUUGCCAAAAUCAUUUGUUUCCCAGCUCAGCUGACACUGUUUGUUUUUGGGGUAUUUUUUGGCGUAAAAAGUGCAGGCACACGGAAUAUUCAUUGGGCAGAAGCCUAAUUUUUAGGCUUCUGGAGCAUGUAGAAUUGACUUUGUUGUUUGUUGGCUAAACCAAGAGUGGAGCCUGGAGAGCAAAGGGUUAAAAAUGGUUGUAGUCCCAAGCUGCCUUACUCAGACAUGUCCCUAACAUGGGAUGUCGGAAAGGGAAGAUGACACAUUGAGUGUGGGAUCCACAUGCAGUUUGAACAGUUUCAAUCAGGCAGUUGCUUUGUAAGGGCACCGUAAUUUGUGUUGGUUUUGUGAAGACAGGAAAUGAGGAAAAAAAAACAGCUUUAGAGCUGUAGAGCUUGUUUUCUUGAAUAAUUAAGCAUUGGAUGUUGAAGUGUGUUGAGUGUGCAACUGGUAGCUUCAGUGACGGAAGCAGAAUCCUGAGUUUAUAACAGCAGUAUAUAAACACCCAAUAUCUGCCUUUUUGACUGCCUUCCAGAAAUCCACAAGUGU